UGGUGCUGUAUGCAGUGUCUGGAAAUCAGAAUUGGUGAAGAUAUAUUGUAGCUAAAAGAGACAAGAUCUCACAUGGUUCAUCAUUACUUCUUGUCAGUAAGUCAGCUUGGGGUUGCAGAAUGAAGGAGAAGCUUCAGCCUUAGAAACUCAGAGCUGCUAAUGAUAAAUUGCAAUCUGCCACGUGCUUCUUGUACAGGAUAGACAGUUGUGGCAACAAAAGACAAAGAAAGGCUAGAAAAACUGCAGCAGAUGUUUGUGCCUUGCACUGGUGUGGACAUGGAAGGAGUCAUGACAACACACAGCUAGUACUGAGGCAGAUCACAACAGUGUCUUCUACAGUAGAACUGGGACUUGAUGAGGACCUAAGUACAUUCAUCUCCCAUUCCUGCAAGUGAGUGAUGAAGGAAGUACAGAGAUCUGUAAAGAACAAGACAGUGGCAGAAACGAGGAACUAAGGAGUCAGCCGAGCAGGAUCAUGGGCUGCAGACACAUUGAGGAGCAGCUGAGAGAAGUACCUGGAGCUGGGGCUGUCUUUGUGUUCCCUGUCAGCCUGGGCAACUCCUGAGAUCCUGGCACCUCUGGUGCUGGGAAGAUGCCAGCCUGCACAGUGCCGUGACAGGUCAACAGCAAAGAUACUGCUCAGGACUGUACAUGGGAUGACAAAAAACAGAGUGGUAUAAGUU
rnacentral:lncRNA from 1 species